CCUANGGGUGGCAGCAGUAGGGGAUAUUGGUGAAUGGGCGAAAGCCUGAACCAGCAACGCCGCGUGUGCGAUGAAGGCCUUCGGGUUGUAAAGCACUUUUUGUCGGGAAGAGGAAGGACGGUACCGGCAGAAUAAGCCUCGGCUAACUACGUGCCAGCAGCCGCGGUAAAACGUAGGAGGCGAGCGUUAUCCGGAUUUACUGGGUGUAAAGCGCGUGCAGGCGGUUGGAUAAGUUGGGUGUGAAAGCUCCUGGCUCAACUGGGAGAGGUCGCUCAAGACUGUUCGACUGGAGCGUGGUAGAGGAAGGCGGAAUUCCGGGUGUAGUGGUGAAAUGCGUAGAUAUCCGGAGGAACACCAGUGGCGAAAGCGGCCUUCUGGACCACGACUGACGCUCAGACGCGAAAGCUAGGGGAGCAAACGGGAUUAGAUACCCUUNUANUC
rnacentral:rRNA from 1 species